rnacentral:pre_miRNA from 1 species
CAAAUCGUCAAAAUUUCAUUUUGUAGUAUUGACAUAGUCAAAUUUGAUCACUCUAACUCUAAUUAUGUUAAUUCUGACUAUAUCAUUGAAUUUCAAUGGACCGACACCUCUAUAAAAAUUAUAAGAGCUUGAGGGAUAU